rnacentral:rRNA from 1 species
UACAGAGGGUGCAAGCGUUGCUCGGAUUUACUGGGCGUAAAGCGUACGCAGACGGUGAGGAAGGUCGGAUGUGAAAGCCCUGGGCUCAACCCAGGAACUGCAUCCGAAACCCCCUCGCUAGAGUAUGGGAGAGGGAAGCGGAAUUCCUGGUGUAGAGGUGAAAUUCGUAGAUAUCAGGAGGAACAUCUGCGGCGAAGGCGGCUUCCUGGCCCAUUACUGACGUUCAGGUACGAAAGCGUGGGGAGCAAACAGG